UACGUAGGUGGCAAGCGUUGUCCGGAUUUACUGGGUGUAAAGGGCGUGCAGCCGGAGAGACAAGUCAGAUGUGAAAUCCACGGGCUCAACCCGUGAACUGCAUUUGAAACUGUUUCCCUUGAGUGUCGGAGAGGUAAUCGGAAUUCCUAGUGUAGCGGUGGAAUGCGUAGAUAUUAGGAGGAACACCAGAGGCGAAGGCGGCUAACUGGACUGUAACUGACGCUGAGGCACGAAAGUGUGGGGAGCAAACAGG
rnacentral:rRNA from 1 species